UCUUGCCAAAGAAGAGGACCCUACACGGUUUGAUUUCUUUUGUUUAGACCUUUGUCAGCAUUGUUUUUUUCCACUUCAAGGAGACAUUUUCAGGAGUUGUGAAAAACGAGUGAAAAUCACUGGUAACAUCAACACCAUCAUCAGAAAAGCAACUGCGCUGGCUAUGUUAGCAAAAUUGAGGUUUUGGAUAAAUGUGUUGCCAAAUGAUAAAAGUGGGAAGACUCGGGCCCUGCUCACCCCCAGACCACGGCCCCCAGCGAUACAAGCAGGC